rnacentral:pre_miRNA from 1 species
AUGUAGUGUAACGAAUUCUUAAGUAGGGAUAAAUUACUCUAGAAAAAAUGAAUCCGAUGUAGUUUUCCCUUCAAGUCAAGUAUUUGAU